AGAACGACUCUCGGCAACGGAUAUCUCGGCUCUCGCAUCGAUGAAGAACGUAGCGAAAUGCGAUACUUGGUGUGAAUUGCAGAAUCCCGUGAACCAUCGAGUCUUUGAACGCAAGUUGCGCCCGAAGCCGUCAGGCCGAGGGCACGCCUGCCUGGGCGUCACGC
rnacentral:rRNA from 3 species